AGCUCCAAUAGCGUAUAUUAAAGUUGUUGCGGUUAAAAAGCUCGUAGUUGGAUCUCGGCAGGCAGGGGGUGGUUCGCUCCUUAGCGCUACUGCCCCAUUUGCCUGUGUGAUUGGCAGAGGUUUCGGGGUGCCCUUUAUUGAGUGACCCGGAGCGCUGUCAGGUUUACUUUGAAAAAAUUAGAGUGCUCAAAGCAGGCUUUUACGCCUGAAUAUUCGUGCAUGGAAUAAUAGAAUAGGAAGUCGUUUCUAUUUUGUUGGUUUUCGGAAAUCGACUUAAUGAUUAAUAGGGACAGUCGGGGGCAUUUGUAUUCAAACGACAGAGGUGAAAUUCUUGGACCGUUUGAAGACAAACUACUGCGAAAGCAUUUGCCAAGAAUGUUU
rnacentral:rRNA from 1 species